GACGAACGCUGGCGACGUGCCUAAUACAUGCAAGUCGAACGAACCGCGACUAGGUGCUUGCACUUGGUCAAGGUGAGUGGCGAACGGGUGAGUAACACGUGGGUAACCUACCUCAUAGUGGGGGAUAACAGUCGGAAACGACUGCUAAUACCGCAUAGGACAUAGGAUCACAUGAUUCUGUGAGGAAAGGUGGCGCAAGCUAUCGCUAAGAGAUGGACCCGCGGUGCAUUAGCUAGUUGGUAGGGUAAAGGCCUACCAAGGCGAUGAUGCAUAGCCGACCUGAGAGGGUGAUCGGCCACAUUGGGACUGAGACACGGCCCAAACUCCUACGGGAGGCAGCAGUAGGGAAUCUUCCGCAAUGGACGCAAGUCUGACGGAGCAACGCCGCGUGAGUGAAGAAGGUCUUCGGAUCGUAAAGCUCUGUUGUUAGAGAAGAACAGCGCAUAGAGUAACUGUUAUGCGUGUGACGGUAUCUAACCAGAAAGCCACGGCUAACUACGUG
rnacentral:rRNA from 1 species